GACUCUCCGCUCAUCCCUGAGUCUCUCGCGACCUCCCUGACUCGACACCUCAACGGCUGAUGCCUUCCAUCGACAGAAGAAGAAGGUUAAGAAGGAAGGUCCUUCGUCCAUUCGUUUCUCGGCCUCUUCGUCUGAUAAGUGCUAAGUGGUACAUUUUCCUAUUACUCUAUAUAAUUUUAUGCAAAAUCUGCUCUGCCUCUGAGCACUUAUUUUCUGAAUGUUAUUAUGUCUAUUUGAGCAGAGUUUAAUUUUGUGUGUGUGUGUGACAUUGAGCUGAGUAGUUAUUAUAUGAGUUUUAUUUUGCUUUUAAUUGAGUGCAUACCAGAUGCUUGUUAAUGUUAUUAUGUGUAUUUGAGUAAUGAAUAUAUGGAUGUUGAUUUGUGCUUAACUUGAUAGUGCACAGUAGAUAGAAUUGAGAGUAGAUUUUGCUUGAUUUUACUUGAUAUGCUGAUUUAGACUUAAUUUGAUUUUGCUUUCAAUUAAUUUGAUUUGGGCUUAACGAAAAUGAAGAGAUUUGGGGUAGAUAUUUCUUUCUAUUAACUUGAUUUUGCUUGUUUGUAACUUGAAUUGAGGAUAGAUUUGGUUUUCUAUAACUUGAUUUGACUUUCAUAUAACUUGAUUUGGGCUUAAAGUCAAACCAUUCUUAAUCAAAUAUAUGAAUUUGAUAAACUGUGUCAAUUCAUAUAUUCUAUUGUUGGGCUAAAAUUGGACAUACUGACUGCAUUUCUUUGCACGGAAACAAAGCCAUUAAGUUCAGGUUUUCACGAAGGUUCCAACUUCAAGCAGGAAAAGAACCUUCCAUGUAGGUAAUGGAUUGUUCUUUUUUCACCAAUAUAAUAGAAUGCUAUGGUUUGAUUUCAAAUAGGAUAGCUCAGUUUGAUACAAACUAAUCAUAAUUUUGGGUUUUGAAGGAGAAAAGAAAAUGUAAUUUUUUUGGUAUAUCUAUCAGAUUAGUUGACUAUAUUUUCAGCAAUUUGAUAUACAAAGUAAAAAUUGUAGGACCACGUUACAUAUACCGAAUUUUUUUACCUAAUCCCCUACCAACUACUCACAAUAGGGGGUAGGGACCACAUUUUGGGAUUUUUUUACUCAUGUAGGUUCCGCGUGCAUGUGAGAGGGGGUAAACAAUUUGGUACACCUUUGAAUGUACAAAUAGAAUUAUACAAAAUUGUAUUGUAAAUUUCCGUGAUCCUCAACUUCUUUUUUCAAUCCCUCAGAUGAAUGCCAGAUUUAGAGACAACAUUAAUCAUCAUUUUGAGUUCAACAGAAACAUCUAAAUAGUGUUGUACUGGGAUUGAAUGUGCAGUGGUUCUUUCAAGGCUUCACGGAUUUUAGUUGUUUUCUAGCUGCAAUGUAUUUCCAAUAAGAGCAUACUUGGAUGUGGUUAGAAGUUAUGUAACUACUACUUUCUAGAAAUUAAGUUUUUCGGUCAAAAGAGUAUCUUUGCUAAACCACAAUUGCACAAAAAAAACCUAUAUUUGCAUUUACAUAACUUUUUCUCUAAUAUAUCUUUGUUUUGUUCAGUGUUGGAUAGUAUCUUUGCCUACAAUGGGCAAAGAGUGGCUGAAAAACAUUAUCAUCUAAAAUUAGAUAUUAUGGAUCUAGAUAUCAAAAAAAUAAAAAUAAAAAAGGAAAAAAAGUAUAAUGAUCAUAAAGUUUUUGUUGUAGAUUUUUGGGACAAUAUAGAGAUGAAGCCAGGAAUUUUGUUAAAUGAGCUUGUGAAAAUUACAAUUUAGAAAUGAAAGUAUGCCCCUGUGUUCCUUAGUCACAUAGGAUGUUUGAGGACUUUUAUAUGCAACAUUAUAUGGAUCUGAAAACCCUCUUGAUGGGAGAGCGAAAGAGAUUGAAAAUUUAGUUGAUGAUGUUGAAACGCCUUUAUAUCCUGGUUGUAAGGUGCUCACGAAAAUGUUAGCUUUUGUUUCUAUAUUUAAGGAUAAAGUUUCAGAUGGUUUAUCGGACAGUGGUUUCAAUGAACUCAUAUAUCUUGUUCGAGACAUGUUGCCAAAGAAUAAUACACUUCCAAACACAUUUUAUAUGAUGAAAAACUUGUCAAUACAUUUGAUCUUGGCUAUGAGAAGAUACAUGUUUGUGUGAAUGAUUGUUGUCUAUGUAGAAAAGAGCUUGAACGGGUUUAAUUAUGUCCAAAAUGUGGCUGGUCAAGAGGGAAAGUUAACCAAUGAACUAAAAAAUUCAGAAGAAAAUUCCAGCAAAAGUUGCGUUAUUUUCCUAUAAUACCACGACUUUAGAGGAUAUUCGAAAUAUAAGAGAUGGCAAUACAAUUGAGAUGCAAUCAAUUAAUAAAAUUUCAGAUGGUAAAAUUAAGCAUUUAGUUGAUUCAUUGAAUUGGGAAAUAAUUAACAGGAGGUGUCCACAUUUUGCAUCAGAUCCUCCAAAGAUUAGAGCUGGCUACGUAUGGAUUUAAUCUUUUCAAAAAUCUUAGCUCUAAAUAUAGUUGUUGGCCACUAAUUUUAACUAUAUAUAACUUGUCUUCCUCAUUAUGCAUGUCAAAGGAAAGUUUGAUGCCAAGUUUAUUGAUCUCGAAACCAAAGCGGACAGGCAAUGACAUAUAUGUUUAUUUGGACUACUUGUAGACGACUUAUUAUUGUUAUGGAGUGAUGAAGCUGAGAUGUAUGAUGCAAUCACAAAGUCUACAUUUAAUUUAAAAGCUAUUUUGAUGUAGACAAUACAUGACUUCCCCACACAUGGAAAUAUAUCUGGAUGGCUCAUUAAGGGAAAAAUUGUUUGCCAUAUUUGUCAUGAUCAUUAUGGUUGAUGCAUGGUAGGACAUUUCCGUACAUGACA
rnacentral:lncRNA from 1 species